ACAUAAUUAGCAGGGAAGAUGCCCAGGCGGCCGUGGUGCUCUCCCUCCAGCCAGUUCUUGUCCACCUCCUUGUGGAUGUAGACAAUGUCACCCUUCUGCAGAGUCAGCUCCCUGCAGGUGGGGACGAGGACCGCAGGGAAGGGGCUUCCUCCAUCAGCCAUUUUGUGGGGACUCAGGGACCGGGCGGAACCCAGGUAAGGUGCAUGUGGGUAGCUGGAGCUCCAGGCUGAGGCCGGGCUGCACGGGGCACAGAGACUGAGCCUCCAGCCUGGGGCUCCGCACCCCACCCUGGUCACCCCUAGACCGCUCUGACCCCCCAUCGCCCCCAUCCCUGCCACCUCCUCCCAGGGCGUCUCCCGGGUCCUGGGCUCUCCACAGGAUGUCCUACUUCCCGAGUCGCUGCGCGGGGAAGGGUGAGGCCCGGCAGGGCCCAGCGGGAGUGCCUGGGCCGUGGCGGGGCCGCCCUAACCGCGCUGCGCCCCCGGCGGCCGCGACCCCGGUCCUCUGCUAGGAGUUAGCUGCCCUCGGUGGCGCGGGAACGGCGCCCCGCAGAGAGUGGCGCUGCGGUCCCUCCCGGACACGGCU
ensembl:lncRNA novel transcript